AUAUUAGUAAUGGGCGAAAGCCUGAACUAGCAACGCCGCGUGUGCGAAGAAGGCCUUCGGGUUGUAAAGCACUUUUUGAGAGGAUGAGGAAGGACGGUACUCUCAGAAUAAGUCUCGGCUAACUACGUGCCAGCAGCCGCGGUAACACGUAGGAGGCGAACGUUAUCCGGAUUUACUGGGCGUAAAGCGCGUGUAGGUGGUUUGGUAAGUAGGGCGUGAAAGCUCCUGGCUCAACUGGGAGAGGCCGUUCUAAACUGCCGAACUAGAGGAUGGUAGAGGGAGGUGGAAUUCCGGGUGUAGAGGUGGAAUGCGCAGAUAUCCGGAGGAACACCAGUGGCGACAGCGGCCUCCUGGACCAUUCCUGACACUCAGGCGCGAAAGCUAGGGUAGCAAACGG
rnacentral:rRNA from 1 species